rnacentral:rRNA from 1 species
AUUGAACGCUAGCGGGAUGCUUUACACAUGCAAGUCGAACGAGUGGCGGACGGGUGAGUAAUACAUCGGAAUGUGCCUAGUAGAGGGGGAUAACUACUCGAAAGAGUGGCUAAUACCGCAUACAAUAGGAGCGGACGACAUCGGAUUAGCUAGUUGGUGGGGUAAAGGCUAACCAAGACAACGAUCCGUAGCUGGUUUGAGAGGACGACCAGCCACACUGGGACUGAGACACGGCCCAGACUCCUACGGGAGGCAGCAGUGGGGAAUUUUGGACAAUGGGGGAAACCCUGAUCCAGCCAUCCCGCGUGUAUGAGAAGGCCUUCGGGUUGUAAAGUACUUUUGGCAGAGAAGCGGUAUCUGCAGAAUAAGCACCGGCUAACUACGUGCCAGCAGCCGCGGUAAUAC